ACGCACGCUGGCGGCGUGCUUAACACAUGCAAGUCGCACGGAAAGGCCUCUUUCGGGGGGUACUCGAGUGGCGAACGGGUGAGUAACACGUGAGUAACCUGCCCUUGACUUUGGGAUAACUUCAGGAAACUGGGGCUAAUACCGGAUAGGAGCUCCUGCUGCAUGGUGGGGGUUGGAAAGUUUCGGCGGUUGGGGAUGGACUCGCGGCUUAUCAGCUUGUUGGUGGGGUAGUGGCUUACCAAGGCUUUGACGGGUAGCCGGCCUGAGAGGGUGACCGGCCACAUUGGGACUGAGAUAAGGCCCAGACUCCUACGGGAGGCAGAAGUGGGGAAUAUUGCACAAUGGGUGGAAGCCUGAUGCAGCAACGCCGUGUGCGGGAUGACGGCCUUCGGGUUGUAAACCGCUUUCGCUCAUGACGAAGCUUUGUGUGACGGUAGUGGGUAAAGAAGCACCGGCUAACUACGUG
rnacentral:rRNA from 1 species